UACGUAGGUGGCAAGCGUUGUCCGGAUUUACUGGGCGUAAAGGAUGCGUAGGCGGAUUUUUAAGUGGGAUGUGAAAUUCCGAGGCUCAACCUCGGCGCUGCAUUCCAAACUGGAAGUCUAGAGUGCAGGAGAGGAAAGUGGAAUUCCUAGUGUAGCGGUGAAAUGCGUAGAGAUUAGGAAGAACACCAGUGGCGAAGGCGACUUUCUGGACCGUAACUGACGCUGAUGCAUGAAAGCGUGGGGAGCAAACAGG
rnacentral:rRNA from 1 species